AAUACAUCCUUUUAAAUAGCUGCGAUUGCGAGACCUUCUCUCCCAAGCAAAAUCCCAAAUUCCUUGUAUUCCCCAACUCCUUCCAGAGGCAUCCUCUUUCCCAAUCUCGGUUCUUCGCUGCUCCAAGAACCAUUCAUCAUGGUUCUCGAGGCGACCAUGAUCUGCAUCGACAAUUCGGAAUGGAUGAGGAACGGCGAUUACUCCCCGACCCGAUUCCAAGCGCAAGCUGAUGCCGUUAAUCUCAUCUGCGGCGCAAAAACACAGUCUAAUCCAGAGAAUACUGUUGGUGUUCUAACAAUGGCAGGAAAAGGCGUUCGUGUUUUGGUCACCCCUACAAGUGAUCUCGGCAAAAUUCUGGCAUGCAUGCACGGUCUAGAAAUUGGUGGUGAGAUGAACAUGACUGCUGGGAUCCAGGUAGCUCAAUUGGCUCUUAAACAUCGCCAAAACAAAAAGCAGCAACAAAGGAUUAUAGUUUUUGCUGGAAGUCCUAUCAAAUAUGACAAGAAGGUACUUGAGACAAUAGGAAGAAAGUUGAAAAAGAACAGUGUUGCUCUUGAUAUUGUUGAUUUUGGUGAAGAAGAUGAUGGGAAACCGGAAAAGCUGGAGGCCCUUCUUUCUUCUGUAAACAAUAAUGACAGCAGUCACAUUGUUCAUGUUCCUCCUGGUCCCAGUGCUCUUUCAGAUGUUCUUAUCAGUACGCCCAUAUUCACUGGAGAUGGGGAAGGAGGAAGCGGUUUUGCUGCAGCUGCUGCAGCUGCAGCUGCAGCAGGCGGUGUGUCUGGAUUUGAUUUUGGCGUGGAUCCUAACUUGGAUCCCGAGCUGGCUCUUGCCCUCCGGGUUUCAAUGGAAGAGGAGAGGGCAAGGCAAGAAGCUGCUGCUAAGAAAGCUUCAGAGGAUGCUGCUAAACAAGAAAAAGGAGGGGAGCAGGCAUCUAGUUCUCAAGAUGCAACUAUGGCUGAACCUGUAAGCAGUUCAGGUCCUGGGGCUGAUAACAAAAGAGCUGAUCUCACGGAGGAUGAGACUGCCUUGCUUGAGCAAGCCCUAGCAAUGUCAAUGGACGAUCCUAGAUCUAGUCAAUCUGGUGGUGUGUCUGUGGGAGAUACAGAUAUGUCAGAGGCAACUACAGAGGACCAAGAGUUGGCUUUUGCCCUUCAAAUGUCUGUGCAGGACAGUGCAAAAGAUACAGCUAGCCAGAAUGACAUGAGCAAGGUGCUUGGUGACCAAUCUUUCAUGUCAUCUAUUCUUGCUUCGCUUCCUGGAGUUGACCCUAAUGAUCCUUCAGUUAAGGAUUUGCUGGCAUCUCUUCAAGGUCAAACAGAGCAAAAGAAAGAUGAAGAUAAGCCACCAAGCGAGGGCGAAAAGUGAUGGUGCUCUGUAAGCUGUCCAUGCCUCCACAUGCUCUCCAAAGCUCAACUUUGCCAAUAUUGUUCUACUGGUGCACCUGUCCAAAGAACGACCAGGGUCACGGACCAUCGUGCCGCGGAUCUAUUUUUUGUGGGAACUCAUGGAAUUGAACACCAGUGCUUGGUGCAGCAAAUAGAUGAUCUCCUUGGAUAUUGUGUUUGAUAUCAUGGUCAGGUUUGUGAUAUACAUACAGAAGGUUCCUAGGAAAGUUUGUGAGAAGUAGACGUCUCUUUUCAACCAUGAAUGAAUUUGAUUUAAACAGUUUCAAUGUUUCCAAAUUAUGAUGACUUGAAGUGAAGCUCGUGGUGCAAGUUGUUCUUGUUUGGGACUUUGAUGGUGGCGGCAGCAGCAGCAGCAGUCAGGGAGGUUAUUUGUGCAUUCAAUUAGAGGCCUUGGUAAAUUCCUCCUAGUUUGAAUUAAUCAAACAACCACCUAUUGUAGGUUAUUUAUUUCCAAAGCACUGGUUUAAAAUGGAUGCAUGCCUGCCAUCGAAUUCUGUGACACAGACCAUGCAAACACGCCAUCAAAUUCUGAGGUUUUGCACA